AGUGAACGCUGGCGGCGUGCCUAAUACAUGCAAGUCGAACGAAGAGGCACACGGGUGAGUAAUAUAUAGUUAAUCUGCCCUACACAGAGGAAAAACAGUUGGAAACGGCUGCUAAUACCUAAUAGUGGAGGAUGAGACUAUAUCGUAUCAGCUAGUUGGUAAGGUAAUGGCUUACAAAGGCUAUGACGCGUAACUGGUCUGAGAGGAUGAUCAGGCACAUUGGAACUGAUACACGGUCCAAACUCCUACGGGAGGCAGCAGUAAGGAAUAGUGCGCAAGGGGGGAAACCCUGACGCAGCUACGCCGCGUGGAGGAUGACACUUUUCGGAGCGUAAACUCCUUUUAUCAGGAAAGCGGUACCUGAUGAAUAAGCACCGGCUAACUCCGUGCCAGCAGCCGCGGUAAUUC
rnacentral:rRNA from 1 species